rnacentral:rRNA from 1 species
AUUGAACGCUGGCGGAAUGCUUUACACAUGCAAGUCGAACGGCAGCACGGACUUCGGUCUGGUGGCGAGUGGCGAACGGGUGAGUAAUGUAUCGGAACGUGCCCAGUCGUGGGGGAUAACGUAGUGAAAAUUACGCUAAUACCGCAUACGAUCUAUGGAUGAAAGCGGGGGAUCGCAAGACCUCGCGCGAUUGGAGCGGCCGAUAUCAGAUUAGGUAGUUGGUGGGGUAAAGGCCCACCAAGCCAACGAUCUGUAGCUGGUCUGAGAGGACGACCAGCCACACUGGAACUGAGACACGGUCCAGACUCCUACGGGGGGCAGCAGUGGGGAAUUUUGGACAAUGGGCGAGAGCCUGAUCCAGCCAUUCUUCGUGCAGGAUGAAGGCCCUCGGGUUGUAAACUGCUUUUGUACAGAACGAAAAGGUUUCUACUAAUACUAGGAGCUCAUGACGGUACUGUAAGAAUAAGCACCGGCUAACUACGUGCCAGCCGCCGCCGUAA